rnacentral:ncRNA from 1 species
UGGUCUGAACAGAGCCCUUACCAAAAGAUGUCUUACCCAUUAUGAUUGCACGCUUAUGAUCCUGCAAAGCACCAGCAACAAUUUCAGAUGCUGAAGCGGAGCCUUCAUUAAUUAAUACUACAAUAGGUGCACCAUUAAGAAUAUCAGGUCCCUCUAUAGGAAAUUUCAAAUUGGAACUUGGUAUUCUUCCUUCGGUAUAAACCACUAAUCCUUCAUUAUCAAGAAAAACGUUGGAUACAUCGACAGCUCCAUCCAAUAUUCCACCUGGAUUGUUUC